ensembl:lncRNA
GGUUAUUCUACUACCCCCAGUAUGUUACUCUAUUACCCUCCAGUAGGUUACUCUUCUACCCCACAGUAGGUUACUCUACUAACCCCCAGUAGGUUACUCUACUACCCCCAGUAUGUUACUCUAUUACCCUCCAGUAGGUUACUAUAUUACCCCCAGUAGGUUACUCUAUUACCCCCCAGUCGGGUACUCUACUACCCCCUGUAGGUUACUCCACUACCCCCAGUAGGUUACUCUAUUACCCCCCCGUAGGUUACUUUAUUAACCCCCAGUAGGUUACUCUACUACCCCCAGUAUGUUAUUCUAUUACCCUCAGUAUGUUAUUCUAUUACCCUCAGUAUGUUACUCUACUACCCCCAGUAGGUUACUCUAUUACCCUCCCGUAGGUUAUUCUAUUACCCCCAGUAGGUUAGUCUAUUACCCUCCCGUAGGUUAUUCUAUUACCCCCAGUAGGUUAUUCUACUACCCCCAGUAGGUUACUCUAUUACCCCCAGUAUGUUAUUCUAUUAACCCCCAGUAGGGUACUCUACUACCCCCAGUAUGUUACUAUAUUAC